UGAUGAAUAAGCCACGCUAAUCCGUGCGCAGCGCGUAUACGGGAGUGGCAGCGUAUCGAUAUGGCGUAAAGCGUCGCAGCGCCCUCAAGUCUGCUGUAAAAAGUGAGCUUAACUCCAUCAUGGCAGUGGAAACUGUUGGGCUGAGUGUGGUAGGGGCAGAGGGAAUUCCCGGUGUAGCGGUGAAAUGCGUAGAUAUCGGGAAGAACACCAGUGGCGAAGGCGCUCUGCUGGGCCAUCACUGACGCUCAUGGACGAAAGCCAGGGGAGCGAAAGGGAUUAGAUACCCCUGUAGUCCUGGCCGUAAACGAUGAACACUAGGUGUCGGGGGAAUCGACCCCCUCGGUGUCGUAGCCAACGCGUUAAGUGUUCCGCCUGGGGAGUACGCACGCAAGUGUGAAACUCAAAGGAAUUGACGGGGGCCCGCACAAGCGGUGGAGUAUGUGGUUUAAUUCGAUGCAACGCGAAGAACCUUACCAGGGUUUGACAUCCUGCGAAUCUCUUGGAAACAGGAGAGUGCCUUCGGGAACGCAGUGACAGGUGGUGCAUGGCUGUCGUCAGCUCGUGUCGUGAGAUGUUGGGUUAAGUCCCGCAACGAGCGCAACCCACGUCUUUAGUUGCCAGCAUUUAGUUGGGCACUCUAGAGAGACUGCCGGUGAUAAACCGGAGGAAGGUGUGGAUGACGUCAAGUCAUCAUGCCCCUUACAUCCUGGGCUACACACGUACUACAAUGCUACGGACAAAGGGCAGCAAGUUCGCGAGGACAAGCAAAUCCCAUAAACCGUGGCUCAGUUCAGAUCGUAGGCUGCAACUCGCCUACGUGAAGGCGGAAUCGCUAGUAAUCGCAGGUCAGCAUACUGCGGUGAAUACGUUCCCGGGCCUUGUACACACCGCCCGUCACACCAUGGAAGUUGGCCACGCCCGAAGCCGUUACUCCAACCCUUGUGGAG
rnacentral:rRNA from 1 species